GCCAAUGUAGUGUAGUGGUUUAAGUGUUGGACUAUUACUCUGGAGACCAGGGUUCAAUUCCCAGCUUGGCCA